UUAAAAGUUAAAACAAAAUCCCUAACUAAGCCCGUGCCCUCCCCUCCCUUAGUCCCUCCUCCCUUUUUUCCCCAAUUCGAAAAUCUUCACCAUCACCUCCGGUCGACCCUCCUCCAUCGAUCCACCUCCUGACCUCCGGUCCUCCACAGCUGACGGCUCCACCUAAUUCCAAAAUCAGAGCCAAGAGAAGGAAGAAUCUCGGGUUUCAGAUUUUAAGACUUAUCCAAAAUACCGGAAGAUCAAGAAGAUGUUUCAAGAUUAUCAACGGUGUUGAAGCACAAGAAAAACUUAAACGUUUCUAUAAUGGUUUUGAACUGAUGUGUUAUUGUUAUUAGUUUGGUUUGGUUUGUUAUUGUUGUUGGUUAAUUGGACUUUUGUUAUGUUAUUUUGGUGUAGGUUUCUAUUGUAUUUUGGACUUUUGUUGCC